GCGAAGGCAGGUUCAAUCCCUAGCCCCACUCAUGGGUUAAGGAUCUGGCAUUGCUGUGAGCUGUGCUGCAGGUCACAGAUGUGGCUCGGAUCUUGAGUUGCUGUGGCUCUGGCGUAGGCCAGCAGCUACAGCUCUGAAUAGACCCCUAGCCGGGGAACCUCCAUAUGCCGUGGGAGUGGCCCUAGAAAACACAAACACAAAAAAAAGAAGGAAAGAAAGAAAAAAAAACUUCCCUGCCUNACACACACACACACACACACACACACACACACACACACACACACACACGAAGCUCCGUGUGGGGCCAGAUGGGAAACAGGGGAACAAACUGAGGCAGGUGCCAGUCUGUGUUAUAGUUAACAUGAAGCCCGCUUUCAGUGAUAGAGGAAACCAUGUGGCUUUUAUGACAUAGGUGGUAAUGAUAAAGGAAUGAGAAUAAUUGGAAAGAGAGAGAAGUCCCAAGUUACCUUUCUUUGUUGUUGUUAGUGUUUUUGUUUUGUUUUUCUAGUGGUGGGAGUGGUGUAUCUUGAUUGAGAGUUAUUUCAAAUUGAAUCAAAGGUUUAGCAAAAUGCUAACCAGCAGGAGUACAAAUAGAGAAAGUUAGCCUUCUUAGGAGGGAGGGAGUUACAUCAGGGCUGCGGUUGGAGGUUUAAGGGGAGGGCAAUUCACCGCAGGAGACUGAGCCAGUUAGAGGUACCAAGGCAUUCUGAUUUCUGGGAUCCAGCAAAUGGGAGACAAAUGUCAGGGUGACAGGGUAAUCAUGGGUAUCAGAGCUGUGAUCUGCUAGUGGCCCAGGCACCCCCUGGUCCAGAAGGAAUGGUGCCCCACGGUUAUUCAUAGGGAGUCGGGGUGGAAAGGCAAGAUUGUCCCACCCAGCUAGAAACUUUGAGAGCUGUGGGCAGGGCCUCCUGGGAUGGAGAAGAAUUACUAACUCCAAGGCUGCAGCUCCCAUGGGCCAGCCCUCAGGGAGCAGUGUGUCAUUAGCAGGAAGGGAUUAAUGACCCAGGACUCCCUGCUCUGGACUCAAAGCAAAGCAUUUUUGGACAUUCAACUCCUCUCCUCUCACCACACAGUUUAAAUCACAUUUUCCCGUUCUGGGAAUUUUGAAGCUUAGUGUGAAUAUCUAGGAGUGCUUUUGAGAUCCUCUGAUGAAAGGUGCAACAGAAGUGCAAAGUAUUACUAUCAACACUGUAAAUAUUUUAAUGACAACAGCAGAAGUGUCAUGUGCAGGCAGAAGAGAUGCACAUGCUGACAUUUAAUAUUCCUAAAAGAACUACGGAUUGUUAGGAAUGGCACAUGCGCAAAAGAAGAGGAGCUGGCUAUGGAGGAAAAAAAAGACAGUUGAGCUAAGUAAGAAACCUCCCUACUCUGCUGCCCAGCAGAAAUGGCACUACCCACCCACACUGAGGCUGAAGCCAGACACCAGGGUUUCCCCUCCAGGUACCAGCCACACACUGAUACCAGGUAUCAGUGACAACUGAUGCAGAAGACAGAGCAAAGCCAGGCCCAGCCUUUAGGCAAGGGGCGAGCUGCUUCUGGGAGUGCUGCUGUCCCAUUAGCAGGCAGGCUCUGGGACAGACCAGCCUGGCAGCUGACUGUCGUGCAAGGAGGGGCUAACAGAGGCUUCCCCUGACAGCAGCACAGUCGGCCCGUGGUUGUUGACAGGUGUCAGGCUGACCCUGGAGCAACUUAGAGCUGAGGGACAGGGUGAUGCAUGACCAGGCAGAGUUUUUCACCACUAUGGGACAUGGGAAUUCUGCUGGCAAGAAAAACUAGUUGGCUCAAUUUAGAGCAGUUUCUUAAUUGUUCUCAAGCAAUAACUGAAGUUAGAAAUUAAUAACUACUGGGUGAGCAUAAAUGAUGUUCUGGGCACAGUGCUCAAAGGCAACCUCUACUACAUUUUCUCAUUUAAUCUUCACAACAACCCUGUGAGGUAGGACCACUACCCAUUCACAGAUAGGCUCAGAAGUUAAGUGACCUACCCAACACUACAGUGAGAGGCAAGGCUAGGAUCUGAAUGCAAGUAUUUUAACUCCAAAGUUGUUUGGACUACAAUGCUAUGUGGCCUCCUCAAUGAUCAAAAAGCAAACAUCAGGGCUCUUAAAUUUUGUGCUUUUGUUUGUUUUAAACACACUGCAUCCAGUAUGCUACUGUCAAAGGUAAGAUAGCAAAAGGCUUUCUUCCAACUCUAUGACUCAGGUUUUGACCCAUGCCCACAAGCAGAUCUUAUCCAAAAGAAGAGUUACUUCUUCCUUUUCUUUUUGAUCUUUUUGUCUUUUUAGGUUGUGGAGGUUCCCAGGUUAGGGGUCCAAUCAGAGCUGUAGCCGCUGGCCUACCCCACAGCCACAGCAACGGGGGAUCCGAGCUGUGUCUUUGACCUACACCACAACUCACAAUAAUGCUGGAUCCUCAACCCACUGAGCGAGGCCAGGGAUCAAACCCUCGUCUUCAGGGAUGCUAGUUGGGUUCGUUAACUGCUGAGCCACGACAGGAACUGCAAAGAGUUACCUCUUUUAAGUCAGGAAGAUACACACUAAGGUCUGUCUUCCACACCCAGACAACCCAGGCCAGGCUUCCAUAUUUGGAGCCUGUUUUGGACUCACUGCCUCCAGUCUCUACUUUCUAAUCCAUAUUCUAGAUUGUGGACAGAAAUAACUUUGAAAAAUCUGCCUGCUUGAAAAUCUCCAAGGCCCCCAGCUGCCUCCAGAAUAAAGUAGUUCCCCUGCUGGGCAGCCACUUCCCAAUCUCUUGCCCACGCCCCCUAAGGUCCAGCUUCUGCUGGAUCACCCUGUGCCCUGAACAGGGUGCACUUUCACACCUCACUGUUAUUAUUAGCCCCUUCCUGUCCCUCUCCCUGCAAUGGCCUUGUCUUACCUUCCUUCUCCAUCUGGCAAAUGGCUUGCCUCCAAAGCCCAGUUCAAAUGUCACUGUGCUCCCUCAGCUUUCUGACUCACAGUAGCAUUUAUUACUCCACUCGCUUGACCGCCCUCCUCCAUGGCACCCGGUGCCCCAAAGCAUAUUAAACUACUUACCGUCAAGUACAAUACAUAUAUCUAUACAGCUUGAUCCUCUUCCCCAUGGAGGCAAGGACAAAAAUCAUUUCUUACCAUCUUUGUUCCCAGAGGCCCUGGUAUACAGCAAAUGCCCUAAAUGUUUUAGAAGAAACAGAUGCAGUCAUGUGCAAAGGAACUCUGCUCACACAGCACUACUAUCAGUGACGAUCUCAUUAUGUGGGUAAUUGCACUAGCUGGCUUCAAAUUCCUUCUACACACAUGAUUUCCUGUGAUCUACACUGCCCCUUUAUAGUGAAGUAGAGAAUAACUCUUGUUCCCCUGAAGAAAAUCAAAGGGGGCAUACAGCAACCCCAAAUUCCACCAGAGAACCUUUGCUUUUCUCUCCUGUCAACAAAGAAAGUUUUGUUUGGGCAGGGGAAAUGGCUGUGUAGCUAGAACUAUAGUCAGAAGCACUGUUCUAGGUGCCCUCCUCCUUUAUGAUCCCGUGCCUAAAUAUCUAUCUGUAAGCACAUCUUCCUAACUGGUUUU
rnacentral:lncRNA from 1 species